UGGGGAAUAUUGCACAAUGGGCGCAAGCCUGAUGCAGCCAUGCCGCGUGUGUGAAGAAGGCCUUCGGGUUGUAAAGCACUUUCAGCGGGGAGGAAGGCGAUAAGGUUAAUAACCUUGUCGAUUGACGUUACCCGCAGAAGAAGCACCGGCUAACUCCGUGCCAGCAGCCGCGGUAAUACGGAGGGUGCAAGCGUUAAUCGGAAUUACUGGGCGUAAAGCGCACGCAGGCGGUCUGUCAAGUCGGAUGUGAAAUCCCCGGGCUCAACCUGGGAACUGCAUGCGAAACUGGCAGGCUAGAGUCGUGUAGAGGGGGGUAGAAUUCCAGGUGUAGCGGUGAAAUGCGUAGAGAUCUGGAGGAAUACCGGUGGCGAAGGCGGCCCCCUGGACAAAGACUGACGCUCAGGUGCGAAAGCGUGGGGAGCAAACAGG
rnacentral:rRNA from 1 species